CCUACGGGCGGCAGCAGUGAGGAAUAUUGCUCAAUGGGCGCGAGCCUGAACCAGCCACGUCGCGUGAAGGAUGGCUGCCCUCCGGGUUGUAACCUUCUUUUAUAAAGGAAUAAAGUGAGGCACGUGUGCCUUUUUGUGUAUACUUUAUGAAUAAGGAUCGGCUAACUCCGUGCCAGCAGCCGCGGUAAUACGGAGGAUCCGAGCGUUAUCCGGAUUUAUUGGGCAUAAAGGGAGCGUAGACGGGUUGUUAAGUCAGUUGUGAAAGUUGGGGGCUCAACCGUAAAAUUGCAAUUGAUACUGGCAGCCUUGAGUACAGUUGAGGUAGGCGGAAUUCGUGGUGUAGCGGUGAAAUGCGUAGAUAUCACGAAGAACUCUGAUUGCGAAGGCAGCUUACUAAACUGCAACUGACACUGAUGCUCGAAAGUGUGGGUAGCAAACAGGAUUAGAUACCCGAGUAGUC
rnacentral:rRNA from 1 species